rnacentral:misc_RNA from 1 species
GAUGAAGAACGCAGCGAAAUGCGAUAAGUAGUGUGAAUUGCAGAAUUCAGUGAAUCAUCGAAUCUUUGAACGCACAUUGCGCCCCUUGGUAUUCCAUGGGGCAUGCCUGUUCGAGCGUCAUUUGUACCUUCAAGCUUUGCUUGGUGUUGGGUGUUUGUCUCGCCUUUGCGUGUAGACUCGCCUUAAAAUAAUUGGCAGCCGGCGUAUUGAUUUCGGAGCGCAGUACAUCUCGCGCUUUGCACUCAUAAAGACAGCGUCCAAAAGUACAUUUUACACUCUUGACCUCGGAUCAGGUAGGGAUACCCGCUGAACUUAAGCAUAUCAAUAAGCGGAGGA